rnacentral:rRNA from 1 species
CAGCCGCCACGGUAAUGCGAAGGGUGCAAGCGUUAAUCGGAAUUACUGGGCGUAAAGCGUGCGUAGGCGGUGAGUUAAGUCUGCUGUGAAAUCCCCGGGCUCAACCUGGGAAUGGCAGUGGAUACUGGCUCGCUAGAGUGUGUCAGAGGAUGGUGGAAUUCCCGGUGUAGCGGUGAAAUGCGUAGAGAUCGGGAGGAACAUCAGUGGCGAAGGCGGCCAUCUGGGACAACACUGACGCUGAGGCACGAAAGCGUGGGGAGCAAACAGGAUUAGAUACCCCAGUAGUCCCUGUCUCUUAUAC